rnacentral:rRNA from 1 species
GAUGAACGCUGGCGGCGUGCCUAAUACAUGCAAGUCGAGCGAACGGACGAGAAGCUUGCUUCUCUGAUGUUAGCGGCGGACGGGUGAGUAACACGUGGAUAACCUACCUAUAAGACUGGGAUAACUUCGGGAAACCGGAGCUAAUACCGGAUAAUAUUUUGAACCGCAUGGUUCAAAAGUGAAAGACGGUCUUGCUGUCACUUAUAGAUGGAUCCGCGCUGCAUUAGCUAGUUGGUAAGGUAACGGCUUGCCAAGGCAACGAUGCAUAGCCGACCUGAGAGGGUGAUCGGCCACACUGGAACUGAGACACGGUCCAGACUCCUACGGGAGGCAGCAGUAGGGAAUCUUCCGCAAUGGGCGAAAGCCUGACGGAGCAACGCCGCGUGAGUGAUGAAGGUCUUCGGAUCGUAAAACUCUGUUAUUAGGGAAGAACAUAUGUGUAAGUAACUGUGCACAUCUUGACGGUACCUAAUCAGAAAGCCACGGCUAACUACGUGCCAGCAGCCGCGGUAAUACGUAGGUGGCAAGCGUUAUCCGGAAUUAUUGGGCGUAAAGCGCGCGUAGGCGGUUUUUUAAGUCUGAUGUGAAAGCCCACGGCUCAACCGUGGAGGGUCAUUGGAAACUGGAAAACUUGAGUGCAGAAGAGGAAAGUGGAAUUCCAUGUGUAGCGGUGAAAUGCGCAGAGAUAUGGAGGAACACCAGUGGCGAAGGCGACUUUCUGGUCUGUAACUGACGCUGAUGUGCGAAAGCGUGGGGAUCAAACAGGAUUAGAUACCCUGGUAGUCCACGCCGUAAACGAUGAGUGCUAAGUGUUAGGGGGUUUCCGCCCCUUAGUGCUGCAGCUAACGCAUUAAGCACUCCGCCUGGGGAGUACGACCGCAAGGUUGAAACUCAAAGGAAUUGACGGGGACCCGCACAAGCGGUGGAGCAUGUGGUUUAAUUCGAAGCAACGCGAAGAACCUUACCAAAUCUUGACAUCCUUUGACAACUCUAGAGAUAGAGCCUUCCCCUUCGGGGGACAAAGUGACAGGUGGUGCAUGGUUGUCGUCAGCUCGUGUCGUGAGAUGUUGGGUUAAGUCCCGCAACGAGCGCAACCCUUAAGCUUAGUUGCCAUCAUUAAGUUGGGCACUCUAAGUUGACUGCCGGUGACAAACCGGAGGAAGGUGGGGAUGACGUCAAAUCAUCAUGCCCCUUAUGAUUUGGGCUACACACGUGCUACAAUGGACAAUACAAAGGGCAGCGAAACCGCGAGGUCAAGCAAAUCCCAUAAAGUUGUUCUCAGUUCGGAUUGUAGUCUGCAACUCGACUACAUGAAGCUGGAAUCGCUAGUAAUCGUAGAUCAGCAUGCUACGGUGAAUACGUUCCUGGGUCU